rnacentral:rRNA from 1 species
CCUACGGGAGGCAGCAGUGGGGGAUCUUGCACAAUGGGCGGAACCCUGAUGCAGCGACGCCGCGUGGGUGAAGAAGCGCCUCGGCGCGUAAAGCCCUGUCAGCAGGGAAGAAAAUGACGGUACCUGAAGAAGAAGCCCCGGAUAACUACGUGCCAGCAGCCGCGGUAAUACGUAGGGGGCAAGCGUUAUCCGGAUGUACUGGGUGUAAAGGGGGCGCAGACGGCGAUGCAAGCCAGGAGUGAAAGCCCGGGGCCCAACCCCGGGACUGCGCUUGGAACUGCGUGGCUGGAGGGCAGGAGGGGCAGGCGGAAUUCCUGGUGUAGCGGUGAAAUGCGUAGAGAUCAGGAGGAACACCGGUGGCGAAGGCGGCCUGCUGGACUGCAACUGACGUUGAGGCCCGAAAGCGUGGGGAGCAAACAGGAUUAGAUACCCGGGUAGUC